CUCACUUAGUUGCCAUCAUUAAGUGGGCACUCUGAAAGAACUGCCAGUGAUAAGCUGGAGGAAGGUGGGGAUGACGUCAAGUCCUCAUGGCCCUUACGUGUUGGGCUACACACGUGCUACAAUGGCAUCUACAACAGGAAGCAAAACGGCAACGUUAAGCAAAUCCCGAAAAGAUGCCUCAGUUCGGAUUGCACUCUGCAACUCGAGUGCAUGAAGCUGGAAUUACUAGUAAUCGUGGAUCAGCGUGCCACGGUGAAUGCGUUC
rnacentral:rRNA from 1 species